UACGUAGGGGGCGAGCGUUGUCCGGAUUUAUUGGGCGUAAAGAGCUCGUAGGCGGCUUGGCAAGUCGGGUGUGAAACCUCCAGGCUUAACCUGGAGACGCCACUCGAUACUGCCAUGGCUAGAGUCCGGUAGGGGACCACGGAAUUCCUGGUGUAGCGAUGAAAUGCGCAGAUAUCAGGAGGAACACCGGUGGCGAAGGCGGUGGUCUGGGCCGGCACUGACGCUGAGGAGCGAAAGCGUGGGUAGCAAACAGG
rnacentral:rRNA from 1 species